ACCGAGCUGCGCGGUCCUGGUCAGCUGGUCAGGUCUCCGUGGUGUGUGUGGUACAUAUGUGUGUGUGUGUGUGUGUGUUAAUCUUGUUUUAUCUGCAUCCAUCGCAUCUCUACAGCAACGCCACGCACUAGAAGCCUUCGUGGGACGCCAAGGAGGACGCGGCCACAGGCGCAGGGACAGGGAGACGCGGAAGAUGCGUGGUUAUCGUGGUUGUCCCUGAUCCCGCCACAUCCCCCGCUAGCUCUGGAACACGCCCGCCAGAAGGACCAAGGAGCAGGACGGAGACAGAGCACAGCGGCAAGUACAAAGCUAUCAACAUCAGAACAGUAUAUGAAUAUGGCAAAUGCUGUUUUGACAUCAUUUCCUGCCAUCCUGAGAAACAGUGAUCUCGAGUAGCAUGAAUUGCAGCUACAAUGGAAAUUGCGCAUCCAGCGCAAGUUUCAGAAUUCAAGAAAGAGGCAGGAUUCCUCAGUGACUGAGGUGAUGUCAAGGAAAAAGAAAAUCCCUUGCAUAGCGCCAAAAGAGACUACGUGUCCACUGAUGUAUGGAGUAAAGGCUUACCUUCCACCAAGGCCCCAUUCAGAAGAUGAUGAAUCAUUAGAGAGACAUAGACAGUGGCUUGCUCUACACUGGAUGAAGAAAGAUCCUGAGUUAGAUAAGAUAAUCAAGGAGUUCCUGAGAUUAGAACCACAAGGGGAUGAACCAGACCCAAGAGUAGCAGUUUUGAAAGGGCUGGAGAAAUAUAGGCUCCCAAUAAUUGCCAUUCUCAAAAAAGAAAAGCAGUUCCUCUGUAUAUGGAAACCUUACUUGAACUCUAUGACCACGAUGAAAGUCAAUGCGAGUAAUGUCUAGUUCAAUUUGUUCAUUUCAGUAGCUGGUAGCAAUUUAAUAUAUGUAUCUUUUCAUCAUUAGCAAUGCAUCUUUCACUUUUAUAAGCCUAGUAUUCAUGAAACUAUGCUGCAUGCAAAAACCAAACAUUGUAUUAAGCAUGACCUAUCUAACUGUAAUGCUUGAACCAAUUUCUAUAAAGGUACUAAUUUAAUUGUUAAAUUCCUGCUCUUCUAUCAAAUUUUUGGCUGAGUGCUAUGGCUAAAUAAUUGUUUGCAGCAUAAGUGAUGUUAAAGAUUUUAAUAGGUGUAAAGCAUCUCUCUCUCUCUCUCUCUCUCUCUCUCUCUCUCUCUCUCUCUCUCUCUCUCUCUCUCUCUCUCUCUCUCUCUCUCUCUCUCUCUCUCUCUCUCUCUCUCUCGUAAGGAAAGACAUUAUUUCUAGUGUAAAUAAACCCAAUAGGCUGUCCAAUUUGAAAUUUAAAAUGUAAAUAUUAUCAAUCUUUUUAGAAAUGUUAGCUGCAUCCUCUUCCCUUGCAGUCCAAUAAGACAGGUCACUAAUUCGUGUGGAGAUAGAAUUCUUGGAGUCACCUUUGCCGGCACUAGCGCAAGUGCAAACAGUCUGAUAAAGGUUUCUUCCAUGGUUGUGAUGAAGUUCAGGAUUUCUCACACUGUUUUGGUGGAUAUGAUGAGUAGAAUCGGGAGUUCGGAACAUCAGUGCGUUAUGUCGGGGCAUGUAGGUUCGGCUGGGGUUUUCUUUCUUUCUUUUUUUUUUUUUUCGAUCAGUACUCAUCAUAUUCUUACGAGGACUUGCUAGACAAAGGAUUAUUGCAUUAUGAUAUUACCCAAAUAGUGUCUCAAGUAAAAAACAUAACCGCAUACUUGUACAAAAGAUUUGCUGCUGUGACACACAUGACAAAAAUCAUUAGUAUACUGGUCGUUCUGAGCAUUCAAUCAAAAUGCUUGUCAUUCAUAUAAUUAGUAGAACCAUCAAGGAGCUUUAUUUUUGUUAAUUCUUAUGUGAUAAAGCAAUAAUUACAGGAGACUUUUAAAAGAUUGGUACUCAAAAUAGUGGACUGUCCUAUUGGAUGUGACCAUAUCUUCACUUUUUCCUUACACAGUUAAUUUUCUUUUGUUUAUUUGAUUUACUUAUUAUCAUAUUUAUUUAUAUAUUUAUUUAUUUGCACCAGAUGCUUGCUUAGUUAUAUUGGGGUUACUUCACCUGCUUGGAGAAAGGAAAGACUCCAUUUUUACUAAGGUACCAGAAGAAGAACUAAGAACAGGGCAGUCUAGUGUGUAUUUGAUGGUGCACCUGUAGCUGAACCAACAUGUAUUUCUAUGGCUGUAGUCUCAUUGGUAGCAGGGCUUUGUGUUUAAUAUUAAACACCCAAAAAAUUGUGAACAUUUCCUCCGUUUCACAACAUCCCAUCUCUUAGGUAUCAAGUAUGACAAAGGUAACACUUCAAAAACAAGAUCUCUACUUGUAAAACUCAAUGAAGUAAAGACAGAAUUGAGCUACAAAAAUGCAUAAAUCUGCUUCCAAAUAUAUUCAACUCCACACAUAAUGCCUCUCUCUCUCUCUCUCUCUCUCUCUCUCUCUCUCUCUCUCUCUCUCUCUCUCUCUCUCUCUCUCUCUCUCUCUCUCUCUCUCUCUCUCUCUCUCUCUCUCUCUCUCUCUCUCUCUCUCUCUCUCUCUCUCUCUCUUUCUCUCUGUCACACACACAGACACACUAGUCAAUUACUAGUUAAAGAUUAAUCAGUGAAAUAAAUACAUAACAUUAUGUUAAUAAGUUUUCUAAAAGGAAAAGGAAAUACUUGUACUUCCCCUU